AGAGAGUUCUGAGAGAUUGGGACAGGGCAGGCGCUGUUCCUCCGUCCCCUGUCAGCUCACCCCAACCCUGCACUCCGCGGGUGGUGCCGGUCCCUUUAAGAACCUUAGCGCUCAGCCCUGAUUGCUGAAUCUGCGCGCUGCCUCCGCCGCGCAGAUUGCAGCUCCGCAGAGCUAGGCGUGCAUCCCAUUCCUCGACCAAAGCCCAACCCGGCCGCUCAGCCACCCCUCAGCGCAGAUCCAUGUCGGCCGCUCCGGCCUACAGCGAAGACAAGGGCGGCUCAGCCGGUCCCGGGGAGCCAGAAUAUGGCCACGACCCGGCGAGCGGCGGUAUCUUCUCCUCGGACUACAAGCGGUGAGCUAGCGAGCGCCGGCCGGGUGCGGCUGGCGCGCAGGCACCAUGGACAGCGCCCGCGAGGCUGCGGCCCUGCCGACCCAGACCCGCCCUGCGCGCUUCCCGGGGUUCCCGCAGCAGGGCCACUUCGCCUUUAGCUACGAAGGGGCGGGGGACCCAAGGCUGGUGGGGGAGGGACCAGACAGGCGGGGUCCUUAUGGAACAGCUGCGAUGAUGUUUGCAGCCUUUUAUUCGCUGGCUCAAAGAGAAACCAAAACAAAACCCCCAAAACCAAUUCCGUAGGGGACGGGUCUGAAUUGGGGAACUGGAGUUUGAGUGUGGUCCACUCCAGGAAGCCGGCCCUGGAUGUAGACUGAGAAACUGGCUCCUCCUGCAAAUUAAUUUCUCCAUCUUUCCCCAACCCCCACAUUGCCCUAUGAUUCAGCCCUACUUGGUUUGAAUCUUACCUUUGACUCAUUCAUUUAUUUGUUCAUAAAUUCAAUAGCACAUUAAUUAAAGGCCUGUGGACCUGUUAGUCACGGAACGGAGUAGUGAACAGGAGCCAAUAGAUUGUUCCAACCGGGAGCACAAUUGUAGCCCUGACAAUUCAAGGGUCAGGAGUGGGAGUGCAAGACAUGUUCCAUUUCAGGGAGGAAGGUACUCUCGUGUUAGAAAUGGGUCUGGGGUCUCAGGGAAAUCACCACACAAUCCAGAGCACAAGGCGCAAGCGAAUGCACUUCUUCAGAAGGGUCACUCAACCAGGCAGGUUCACCGAGUGCGAGUCCCACUGGAUUUUUAUUACUAAUGAUCGGGUGACCCUGUUCCUUACCCUGCAUGGUCAGUGCUAGGCCUCACAUGCUCAAGCAGCUGCAAACAGCAACAAACCCUUAAAAGUCAGUCAACUGAUAUGCAAAGUGCAACUUUUGAGAACAGGAUGCAGCUGUGAGCACAUACUUUGAUCUUAGACAAAUGUUAGGCUGUGAGCCUGUCCAAAAUUCAUAGCCCCUGGGGCUGGCAGGCCUCUACUGGGAAGAGUACACCUGAGACAAAGGAAUGGAGACUUUUCUAACGCUAUAUAACGUAAUAAAAACUCCACUGG
rnacentral:lncRNA from 1 species